rnacentral:rRNA from 1 species
UACGUAUGUCGCAAGCGUUAUCCGGAUUUAUUGGGCGUAAAGCGCGUCUAGGCGGUUUGGUAAGUCUGAUGUGAAAAUGCGGGGCUCAACUCCGUAUUGCGUUGGAAACUGCCAAACUAGAGUACUGGAGAGGUGGGCGGAACUACAAGUGUAGAGGUGAAAUUCGUAGAUAUUUGUAGGAAUGCCGAUGGGGAAGCCAGCCUACUGGACAGAUACUGACGCUAAAGCGCGAAAGCGUGGGUAGCAAACAGG